CCUGAUCCAGCCAUGCCGCGUGCAGGAAGACUGCCCUAUGGGUUGUAAACUGCUUUUACAGAGGAAGAACCACUCCCACGUGUGGGAGUUUGACGGUACUCUGCGAAUAAGGAUCGGCUAACUCCGUGCCAGCAGCCGCGGUAAUACGGAGGAUCCAAGCGUUAUCCGGAAUCAUUGGGUUUAAAGGGUCCGUAGGCGGGCAGUUAAGUCAGUGGUGAAAGUCUUCCGCUCAACGGGAGAACUGCCAUUGAUACUGAUUGUCUUGAGUUAUUAUGAAGUGGUUAGAAUGAGUAGUGUAGCGGUGAAAUGCAUAGAUAUUACUCAGAAUACCGAUNGCGAAGGCAGAUCACUAAUAAUAUACUGACGCUGAUGGACGAAAGCGUAGGUAGCGAACAGGAUUAGAUACCCUGGUAGUCUACGCCGUAAACGAUGGUUACUAGCUGUUCGGCCCGAUUAAGGGCUGAGUGGUUAAGCGAAAGUGAUAAGUAACCCACCUGGGGAGUACGUUCGCAAGAAUGAAACUCAAA
rnacentral:rRNA from 1 species